UACUCGGGGCAGGGUGCAACUCCCUACCGGCGGUGAUAGUCCGCGACUCCCUUGUGGUGCUGACUCCUAGUGUGUUUUGAGCCAAAGGGACUGAAUCGGUGAAAUUCCGAUACCGACGGUAAUAGUCCGGAUGAGAGAGUGG
rnacentral:ncRNA from 1 species